UCACCACAUUCCAACAUCCUUUGUCAGGGUAGAAUUUGUCAGGCACAUACUAUAAACAAUAUAUUUUUCAACUUUUCUCUACUUGGUUACCUUCAGCAGUCCAAAAGAAAAUGAAUAGAGUAAUAGUCAAGAAUGUAUACUGCAACUCUAUUAACUUAAGGAGAAGGGAACUAACGUUUUUAAAAUCGUUAAGGGUUCACAUGAACUAAUGGCUGUUUUUUUCUUUCCCUCUGUUCCACUAGGGAUUAAUGGUCAUCCCUGCACUACCAGUCCUUUGUUGGAAAAUCUACAUUCUCCAGGAUUGUGAUGUGAACAUACCAUGUGAUAUUGCAAUACUUCUUGCCCCUUAUCUAGCAAACCUGUGCAUUCGGAAUACCAUCACCAUCAGCAUCAUCAUCACAGGCAUCCCCAAUUCCAUCUUUGUCAGCAUCUUCCUGACCAGAAUUAGGGGAGAUGCUGUAUUGGCUUACUGAGACAGUGAAAUUACUUUGUCUUGGCAUCACUCUCAAUAGGAGGAAAGCUACUAAAGAUGCUCAGGAAAGGGAAAGAAUGAAUAUCUUCUGCCAGCGCAGAACAGUGUUUGCCCACAAGAGACCUGAAUAGUAAACAUACAUCAGAACUGGGCACUCCAUAAUAGCACGUAUGAUUUCCUAUUUGGUAUCACCAACAAUAACACGGUUCAUUUUCCAAGCAUAUUCCAGAUCCCUCUUAAUCUCUUAUUGAGA